CAAUAGCGUAUAUUAAAGUUGUUGCAGUUAAAAACGCUCGUAGUCGGAUUUCGGGGCGGGCCGACCGGUCUGCCGAUGGGUAUGCACUGGCCGGCGCGUCCUUCCACCCGGAGACCGCGCCUACUCUUAACUGAGCGGGCGCGGGAGACGGGUCUUUUACUUUGAAAAAAUCAGAGUGUUCAAGCAGGCAGUCGCUCUUGCAUGGAUUAGCAUGGGAUAAUGAAAUAGGACUUCGGUCUUAUUUUGUUGGUUUCUAGGACCGAAGUAAUGAUUAACAGGGACAGUUGGGGGCAUUCAUAUUCCAUUGUCAGAGGUGAAAUUCUUGGAUUAACGGAAGAUGAACUUCUGCGAAAGCAUCUGCCAAGGAUGUUUUCAUUGAUCAAGAACGAAAGUUAGGGGAUCGAAGACGAUCAGAUACCG
rnacentral:rRNA from 1 species